CUGGUUAAAAUAAGCCUUUAACACAAUCUUAAUUAACAUACUAUCCCUCAACUUAUCCCUCCUUUUUUUGCCGCAUUUCUGGUUCUCCCUUUUUAACUGUAAAACGUCUGACUUAACUGUUUUUUUAACUGUGUUUUUUUAAUUAAUUAAGGUUUUUAGUUUAAUUCUGGUAAUUUAUGAUUAUCAAUUAGGAUGUUCUUUUCUUGAUUUGCCAUGAUUUGCCUUGAUUUUUGGUGCUAGCCUUUACUAGCGUUUUUUUGUUAUUAGAUACGUCGUUUGGUAAUUGGCUUUCCAUGUGCAGUCAAUGUGCAUUCAACUCUUUUGGAUCAAUACUUAAUAGAUAGCUGUUAUUAUGUGCUUUAUUGGUUAUGUUGAAAAAUCAUGCAAAUCCAUUAAAAAUAUGAAUCGAUUCACCCAACGAUCCAACGUGAUGUUGGUUGGUUAAGUUCAAUUCAUACGGGAUCUAGGAUUACCAUUAGUGUGUUUUUGCUAAGCUAGUUUCAUUGCUUCGGAUGGAUGGAAACAUGGAUCAAUCAAGAAAUUUCACCUGAUAAUGAACAAUCAUUUUCCAAUGCAUAAUUCAUAUGCAUUGAUCAUGGAGAAGGAAUAUUGCGUGAAGAAAGCAUUUUGUUAUUUUCAUACUUAAAAAGCAUUUUUAUUUGCUUCUGAUUGAAAAAAAGAGUUCAGCUUUACAGUCCAGGUUUGUCUGAUUAUCUAAACAUUUAACAGAAAACGUUUCUGAAAAUUGCAACCAUCAAUUUAAAAUGUUUCCAACAAUGCAACUUUAAGAUGAGAAACAAAAUUUUCUCAUCGGCAUGCAUCUAUUUUCCUGAAUUUAAGUUGAUUUCAUUCGAUCAUUUAUUACAGAUUGAAAUAAAUGUGAAAAUGAACAAAUUGGCAAAAGAUAAUUGGAUGAUUGAUGAUCCCAUGUUUUGAUUUAAAGUUAUCAUGACUAAAAAGGAGAAAGAGGUAAAAUAGGAAGAAGUAAAAAAUAUCAAAUAAUAAAUUGACAUUAACUGAAUCAAACUAGAGGAAACAAUCAUAAUAUUUGGUGAAAAAAAGUAGAACAUCGAUUUCCAAUUGAGUAAAUUUUUUACUCAGACUUUCUGGUUUACCUUAUGUUAUUUUUCAUUCUCUUCCUGUUUAUCUCUUCACCAUUAUCAUCAUCAUUCCCAAUCUUCAUUGUCUUCCCAUUCAGCCUUAUCUCUAGCUUAAAACCUCUUCAGUUUUAUGUUGUUUUUUGCCUGGUGAAAUAUUUAUUCCUUGUUUAUAAUAGAAGUCUAAUCUGUAAAUCCUAUCAUUGUUAUUAUGGGUAAAAAAGCAGAAGAAAAAGAUGAUGAAAAGAAGAACAAGAAUUAUCAUCAUACUUGAUUCUUUUGUAAUAAUAUUACUCAAAUUUGUUGGUAAUUUAUAUCAACCGGGAUCAUCAUAUAUCAACAAUUGUACCAAAAAUGCUGAUCUAAGCACUAAUCAUCAACAAAAUCAUUGAUCUAUACUAAUACACAUCUGAUUGUUCAAUUCAUUGUUUCUGUAAGAUUUAAGGAUUUAGCCCUUCAUCCCACUAUUUAUAUUCAUUUCCUCAAUUUGGCCUCUUAAUCGAUUGUAAAUUGUCAACCAUUGUACUCAAUUUAUCCUCAAAUCAAGCCACUUGCAAUGAACCUUUCAAAAUCAAUCCGGCAAUAAUGCGAAAAGCAAACUCCAAAUGCUUCAAGAUUAAACUUGCUAUUGACCAUGUUAUUAGCUUUUCAUUAGAA